UACGUAGGGUGCAAGCGUUGUCCGGAAUUAUUGGGCGUAAAGAGCUCGUAGGCGGUUUGUUGCGUCGGCUGUGAAAUCCCGAGGCUCAACCUCGGGUCUGCAGUCGAUACGAGCAAACUAGAGUGUUGCAGGGGAGACUGGAAUUCCUGGUGUAGCGGUGAAAUGCGCAGAUAUCAGGAGGAACACCGGUGGCGAAGGCGGGUCUCUGGGCCACUACUGACGCUGAGAAGCGAAAGCAUGGGGGAGCGAACAGG
rnacentral:rRNA from 1 species